rnacentral:rRNA from 2 species
GCAUAUCUAUAAGCGGAGGAAAAAGAAAACCAACAGGGAUUACCUCAGUAACGGCGAGUGAAGCGGUAACAGCUCAAAUUUGAAAGCUCGCUCUUUUAGGGUGCGCAUUGUAAUUUGUAGAAGAUGCUUCGGGUGUGGCCCCGGUCUAAGUUCCUUGGAACAGGACGUCAUAGAGGGUGAGAAUCCCGUAUGUGACUGGGUGCUUUCGCUCAUGUGAAGCUCUUUCGACGAGUCGAGUUGUUUGGGAAUGCAGCUCAAAAUGGGUGGUAAAUUUCAUCUAAAGCUAAAUAUUGGCCAGAGACCGAUAGCGCACAAGUAGAGUGAUCGAAAGAUGAAAAGCACUUUGGAAAGAGAGUUAAACAGUACGUGAAAUUGUUGAAAGGGAAGCGCUUGCAACCAGACUUGCGCGCUGAUGAUCAUCCGGGCUUCUGCCCGGUGCACUCGUCUGCGCUCAGGCCAGCAUCGGUUUUGGUGGUGGGAUAAAGGCCUUGGGAAUGUAGCUUUCUUUCGGGGAGUGUUAUAGCCCUCGGUGCAAUGCCGCCUACCGGGACCGAGGACCGCGCUUCGGCUAGGAUGCUGGCGUAAUGGUUGUAAGCGACCCGUCUUGAAACACGGACCAAGGAGUCUAACAUCUAUGCGAGUGUUUGGGUGUCAAACCCAUACGCGUAAUGAAAGUGAACGGAGGUGAGAACCCUUAAGGGUGCAUCAUCGACCGAUCCUGAUGUCUUCGGAUGGAUUUGAGUAAGAGCAUAGCUGUUGGGACCCGAAAGAUGGUGAACUAUGCGUGAAUAGGGUGAAGCCAGAGGAAACUCUGGUGGAGGCUCGCAGCGGGUUCUGACGUGCAAAUCGAUUCGUCAAAUUUGCGUAUAGGGGCGGAAAGACUAAUCGAACCCAUCUAGUAGCUGGGUUGCUGGCGGAG